rnacentral:lncRNA from 12 species
AAUACACAGAUGGAUUGGGAACUGUCAGUGAAAACAUAUAUUCAGCUUACAUAGUCCCAGAAGAUUUAGCAUGGCACCACUUUUUAUACUAAAGAGGCGGAAUUAAAUGCUGCACCUAAGCAGUGUUUAGGAAGGCCGGGAGCACUCAGCACGCAUUCUCCAUGCAUCUGGAUGGCAAGUGCCUCUGUAGCUGAUUUCUAUGAACACAUAUGGAAUAAUAAAAAAAAAGAGAUGCAUAGUUUGAAUUUAAAUUCACCCCGAAAGGAAAGCAAACAAGCCAAAAAGGGAUGUUGAUUACUUAUAGUAGGAAACACAGAUCACUAAAUCACACUGAAUGGCAGUAUAAUAGAGUCUUUUCACUUUCUAAAAGCUUAAAGUUAGGUGAUUUACUACAACCUACAGAAGAUACAAAGAUGAUUUAUUCAAGGUUUUAUGUCCUUGAGAAUUUUACAAUUGAGCAGGAAACGAGAUGGAAAUGGAGAGCACAAAAAGCAUAAAAUCCUACGGACAUAAGAGACAACCACACUUGGUAGUGAAGAAAGGAG